GAUGAACGCUGGCGGCGUGCUUAACACAUGCAAGUCGAACGGAAAGGCUCCUGCUUGCAGGGGUACUCGAGUGGCGAACGGGUGAGUAACACGUGGGUGAUCUGCCCUGCACUUCGGGAUAAGCCUGGGAAACUGGGUCUAAUACCGGAUAGGACGAUGGUUUGGAUGCCAUUGUGGAAAGUUUUUCGGUGUGGGAUGAGCUCGCGGCCUAUCAGCUUGUUGGUGGGGUAAUGGCCUACCAAGGCGUCGACGGGUAGCCGGCCUGAGAGGGUGUACGGCCACAUUGGGACUGAGAGACGGCCCAGACUCCUACGGGAGGCAGCAGUGGGGAAUAUUGCACAAUGGGCGCAAGCCGGAUGCAGCGACGCCGCGUGGGGGAUGACGGCCUUCGGGUUGUAAACUCCUUUCGCUAGGGACGAAGCGUUUUGUGACGGUACCUGGAGAAGAAGCACCGGCUAACUACGUG
rnacentral:rRNA from 1 species